CCUAUGGGGGGCAGCAGCCGGGAAUCAUCUGCAAUACGCGCAAGCGUGACAGUUUGAACUGGAGUGCUUUCCAAAUGGAAAGCUUUUGUGAAAUGUAAAAAGUUUUACGAAUAAGGACUGGGUAAGACGAGUGCCAGCCGCCGCGGUAAUACUCGCGGUCCAAGUCGCAGCCAUUUUUAUUGGGUCUAAAACAUCCGUAGCUUGCUUUGCAAGUUCUCUGUGAAAUCCCGUUUCUCAAGGGCGGGGCGGGCAAAGAAUACUACAAUAGCUAGAGACUGGAAGACGUAAGAAGUAUGUUCGAAGUAGCGGUAAAAUGUGUUAAUCUCGAACAGACUAACAAGAGCGAAGGCAUCUUACGAGGACAGUUCUGACAGUAAGGGAUGAAGGCUAAGGUCGCGAAAGGGAUUAGAUACCCCCGUAGUCC
rnacentral:rRNA from 1 species